UCAAUAAGCGGAGGAAAGAACCAACAGGGAUUGCCUUAGUAACGGCGAGUGAAGCGGCAAAAGCUCAAAUUUGAAAUCGGCCCACCAGGUCGAGUUGUAAUUUGUAGAUUGUAUCUUGAGAGCGGAUUAAAGUCUGUUGGAACACAGCGCCUUAGAGGGUGACAGCCCCGUAAAAUCUAUUCUCAUUGUAAGAUACUUUCGAAGAGUCGAGUUGUUUGGGAAUGCAGCUCUAAGUGGGAGGUAAAUUCCUUCUAAAGCUAAAUAUUGACGAGAGACCGAUAGCGAACAAGUACUGUGAAGGAAAGAUGAAAAGCACUUUGAAAAGAGAGUGAAAAAGUACGUGAAAUUGUUAAAAGGGAAGGGUAUUGAAUCAGACUUGGUGCUGUUGUUCAACCAUGUUUCGGCACUGGUGUACUCAGCAGUACUAGGCCAAGGUGGGGUGUUUGGGAGUGAAAAAGAAGUUAGGAACGUAACUCUUCGGAGUGUUAUAGCCUACUUUCAUAGCUCCUCAGGCGCCUCAGGACUGCGCUUCGGCAAGGACUUGGCAUAAUGAUUCUAUACCGCCCGUCUUGAAAC
rnacentral:rRNA from 1 species